UACGUAGGGGGCUAGCGUUGUCCGGAAUCAUUGGGCGUAAAGCGCGUGUAGGCGGCCCGGUAAGUCCGCUGUGAAAGUCGGGGGCUCAACCCUCGGAUGCCGGUGGAUACUGUCGGGCUCGAGUACGGAAGAGGCGAGUGGAAUUCCUGGUGUAGCGGUGAAAUGCGCAGAUAUCAGGAAGAACACCCGUGGCGAAGGCGGCUCACUGGCCCGGUACUGACGCUGAGGUGCGAAAGCGUGGGGAGCAAACAGG
rnacentral:rRNA from 1 species